GUGAAUUGGUCUGAGCACAGGAAUACACUCCCAGGUAUCUCACGUGGCCAGAACUUUGUGGGGAAAAGACAGCAAAGUUCACUACACUCAUGCCAGCAAUCUGACAGCUGGCUAAUAUAAUGUAAAAAAAAAAAACCAAAAAACCAAUAAUUUUUGACAUUCUGACUGGUUACAUGUCCCAAACCUGUCAACAAUGACCCAUAAUUUAUGUACAGACUUAUGGGAGCACAUGAAACCUUCUCUGCCUUCCUGAGUAUCAUCUCAGAAUGCCUCUGCAGAUAUCAAAAACAAGAUUGGACUGGGAUUUCCCCCAACUGCUGAAGUGGCUUUUUUGGUGAAUUUCAGCUGGAUCUGAAGCUGGGUACUCUCCAAAAAAGCUUAUGAAGCUGACAAACAUUUACCUCCUGGUCCUACAACCCUGAAACUUCCAUCGCAGAAAUUCAGAGCAAAGGAUCUUAUUUAUUGCUUUGAAAACUGUGCAGUGAGGGCAAGGAUUGGGGAGAGCAGGCCCACUGGUACCCUGAAAUUUUCUACACUCAGCUUUUGCCCAGAAGAUUUCCAAAGGAGUUUCCAUCACAGCAAUUAUCUGAGCUCUUCAAGAGCUCUCAGGGUUAAGUAUAAUUAUAACAAUUUUAUUUUACAUAAGCGAGGAAAGUCUCACAUUUGUUUUGCAUGUAUCAUUUCAGUUAUGAUUGAGUAG
rnacentral:lncRNA from 1 species